rnacentral:rRNA from 1 species
GACGAACGCUGGCGGCGUGCUUAACACAUGCAAGUCGAACGGGCCUUGUCCCCUUUUUUUUUGGGGGUGGGGUUAGUGGCGAACGGGUGAGUAACACGUGAGUAACCUGCCCCUCACUUCUGGAUAACCGCUUGAAAGGGUGGCUAAUACGGGGUGUUCUGGCCUGCUCGCAUGGGUGGGUUUGGAAAGAUUCGACCGGUUUGGUUGUUUUGGUGGGGGAUGGGCUCGCGGCCUAUCAGCUUGUUGGUGGGGUGAUGGCCUGCCAAGGCGUUGACGGGUAGCCGGCCUGAGAGGGUGGGCGGUCACACUGGGACUGAGACACGGCCCAGACUCCUACGGGAGGCAGCAGCGGGGAAUAUUGCACAAUGGGCGCAAGCCUGAUGCAGCGACGCCGCGUGAGGGAUGGAGGCCUUCGGGUUGUGAACCUCUUUCGCCAGUGAAGAAGGUCCUGCUCUUUGUGGUGGGGUUGACGGUAGCUGGGUUAAUGAAGCGCCGGCUAACUACGUG